CUACUGCCAUUGCCGUGUUUAAAGAAAUCCGCGUGCCCGUAGAUAAAGCAGCGUUCGAUUGUAUUCCGAGUUCGUAUUUGUGACUCACUGUAUAGUCUCUUAGCUUCAGUUCUAGGAUUUAGAAGUGGUGUCAUCAUAUAUUCAGUGGUUCCGGUUGGUUUUUAAAAUCGCCGUUGCCGAGACGAUACUUAAGGCGACUGUUGUUAAAAAAGGUGCUGUCGUGUGAAGUUCCAGGCCACAAAAUUUUGUUAGCAGAAGCUUGGCAUUGCAUAUAGUCUAAACAUUCAAUGAAAAGUAUCCUUUUCCGUUUCGAAAAAAUUCCCCGUUGUCUCCACCCGGGGACUGUAUACGGACAUGCGUGCAAUCUAUGGCACCAAGAACUUUGGGAGACUUCUCUAUGUUAUAAAAGUCCAAAAGUCCAAAUUCCUGGCUCAGCAUUGCAAUCGCUUCUGAUACUUCUUUGACCGCUCGGGAUGCUGAGGCAACGCUGACACCACAGAAGUCUCCUGCCGUAAUUAGGAAGCUGUCAUUUGCAUAGAAUCGUAAAGCCAACAAGAAUUUGGUAUCUGAUUUUAACGCAUAUGAUGUAGGUUAUAUUUUAAAUACAUUAUUUGGCUAUUUUUACAUGAUGUAAGGAUAUUACCGGCAAACAACGAGGACAAAUAAGGCUCUCGGGUCUAACUCCGGAUAAAUUCACAAGCAGGAAACCACUAUUGGGCCGGGUACUUCUCAACGGGCGGUACUUCUCAACGCCGCGAUGCGACGGCUGGAAGUCACCGAGAUGAGGUGGCCGUGGUAGACCGGAACGGACUCACCGGGAAAUACUUGAUGUCGUCGGCGUAAGGGGUUGGUUGCUGGGCGUCUGCGCGGGUCGAAUGUACACCGGUUGCUGGGCACCCAAGUCGGGCUGCACAAAAAAAUGUAUACUAGCACUUCAGCUGCAUCUGCCUGGUUGGACAAUAUGGCUGCGACUAUCUUGAUAUCAGCUGAUCAUCUUACCUACCCCCGCCAUAUUACAUGGCCUCUCUCAAAAUUGGGUCAUUGGAUACAUAGGUCCAUUUAAGGUAAUCCCAGAGCGAACCGGGAUUAAUCUUCAAAUAGCCAGAUCGCCCGCCAGAUUCAUCCCGCUGCUGCAACUUUCGCCAUAUCGACCUAACCUAUCGAUAAAGUCCCUCCCAUUAUCGACUCCAAUUGCAACAAUUGUUAUUCAUUAUGGCUUAUAUUUUCAGCAAACGUAAAAACAGCUGUGCUUUUUUGUCCUCUUUGUUGGCUGUCAAUUUAUCGAGUCCGAAAAGACUUAACAGGGAGUCUGAGUCCCUGUCAAAGUUAGCUCUCACAUUGAGGCUCGAGAAAGCCAAAAUAGCUUAAGCCUAGUACUCAGAUCGGCUAAGAGUUUCACUAGUCGAAAAAACUUGUUCUUUGCAGUGUGACCGAAGUUUUCAGAGUUCACCCGCAAUGCAUGUAGCAUGGUCUUACUGUCAAGCG